rnacentral:rRNA from 1 species
GAAGCGCGCCUUCGGGCGAGCGGCGGACGGGUUAGUAACGCGUGGGAACGUGCCCAGAUCUACGGAAUAGCCACUGGAAACGGUGAGUAAUACCGUAUACGCCCUUCGGGGGAAAGAUUUAUCGGAUUUGGAUCGGCCCGCGUUAGAUUAGGUAGUUGGUGGGGUAACGGCCUACCAAGCCUACGAUCUAUAGCUGGUUUUAGAGGAUGAUCAGCAACACUGGGACUGAGACACGGCCCAGACUCCUACGGGAGGCAGCAGUGGGGAAUCUUGGACAAUGGGGGCAACCCUGAUCCAGCCAUGCCGCGUGAGUGAAGAAGGCCCUAGGGUCGUAAAACUCUUUCGCCUGUGAUGAUAAUGACAGUAGCAGGUAAAGAAACCCCGGCUAACUCCGUGCCAGCAGCCGCGGUAAUACGGAGGGGGUUAGCGUUGUUCGGAAUUACUGGGCGUAAAGCGCACGUAGGCGGAUUAGAAAGUUACGAGGUGAAAUCCCGGGGCUCAACCCCGGAACAGCUUUAAAACUACUAGUCUAGAGUUCGAGAGAGGUGAGUGGAAUUCCGAGGUGUAGAGGUGAAAUUCGUAGAUAUUCGGAGGAAC